UGUACAUCCGUAGUUUAUAAUACAGUCUCUAAAAUGUCUUAUAUUUAGGAACGGAGGGAGUACUAUUUUUGUUUUCCUUAACCUAGAACAUGAAGGGCCUAUUUUACUCCCUUAAAGUAUUGGCAUUAGCAAGUCACCCCCUCAUAUGUCUGAGGCUUGGAACUGUAAAUGGAAAAUCGGGAGAAAAUGUAGCGAUGAGCUGGACAACAUAAUACAGGAACAGAAAAAAAAACAUACACAUGCUAGCCGCUUUACAUAAUUAUUAUUCAGUAAUGUUCAGCAGAGAGUUCCAUUUGAUUUUCAGACCAUCAACCCACUCAUGUUAGUUUCUGGUACAUACAUGCCCCCCAUGGAAAUUUUGAUCUGCUUGCAGCUUGUAAACACUUUCUUCAAGCUGCCCAAAAGCUGCUGGUACAUCUAACUUUAUUGGUCAUUUAAACCUUGAAAAGGAAAAUGCGUGCCAAAAUAUAAGAAAACCGUUCAGCUUGAUCCCCUUCCAGAUAUUUCUGUCAUCUGCUGUUUCCCUCUAUAGGAUCUGAAUGACACAUUGUUACCAUUUCGUCGACACAUCGUGUUUCUUUCGUCCCAUUUUCUUUAAUAUGCAUCGCAUUAUGACCUGCUGUUUAGGGUAGGCACGACUUCAUGUCACUGUUUUUGAGCAUGGAAUUUUUUUGUAUUGUGCAAAAGUCGAUGCAGCGCCAAUACUUUAUUUAUCAGAUGUGCAUUGUUCAACAACUUUAAUUGGUUAAAGCUUUAAGAUGCCUGCAUUUCUAUCCAUGUAAUGUACUCUCCACAUAUUUAAUGAUGCAUAUCUUCCAUCAAGUCUCAAUACUGCUUUUGAAGGUACAACACAUCUUUGCAUUUUCUAGAUAUAAUUGCAUCAUGCUUACUUUUUUUUCUACAUAGUUUUUCUUUUCUUUUAAUACAGUCUGCUCAUCCAUGGCUAUAAGAAGAGAAGGCUCUAACCUAUUUGGAUCUGCACCGUCUCUCCUCUCUUUUAAUACAUGGAGGCUCUCAAGGUCAAGAUGCCAGACUUGUGCUUGCUCUUGCUCAUGGCACUCCUGUUGCUUCCUGGAUCUGAAGGAGAUACCUGCACAAUGAUCAGCCGGACCUACAUUACUAUCUUAUGUGUGCGUCACACAUGCGUCGAACAUUGCGAUGGAGUUCUCGGCCCUUUUGGGUUCAUCCUGAUGAGCAGCUACAGAUGCAGAUAUAGAGAUAUAGCUGUGUUGUGAUGCGAUUAUAUAUAUCUUCUGGAGUGUUUGCAUGUGAUUCUAUCUCCAGUGUUUACAUUGUUAAAUUAUCCGGAUAAUGUGUCCUAGCACAGUGUUUGACAAAAAAGAAGAAAGCAAAACAUGAAUGCAGUUGGUGCUAGCUCUGUCAGCUUCCUACUUGGCCUCUAGAGAAGCAGAGAGAUUUUUGUCACUAAAGAUGAUAUCCUCCUCAGACUGAGAGUCAUAAGAACAUCUAACUAAAUAGUUCUACUUCAGUACAUUUAUAAUCAUAUAUAUGGUAUAAGAUCAUGCCGUAUUCUUUCCCCCCUUAAAUUAUUGGCAUUAGCACUUCACCCCUAAUCUUUGUCUGUGGCUUGGAAUAGUAAAUGGAAAAUCCGGAGAAAACGUACUGAUGAGCUGGACAAAAGAAUACACGGUAACAACUAAAAA